CUUGGUUGUUGCAACUUGAACUUAAGAGGAGACGAGCCUCGGACAAAAGGUUCUGGAAGGUGAUUUGUUGCAAACCUGAGUCGUGCAUUUUCCAUCUUCAAAAGGCAGACCUUCAUAGAGUGCACUGCAAUAACCAAAGAUCAUGUACUAAAGUGAUUAGGCCAUCCUUGGGAGUUGCAACUGCGAAGUGAGAUAUAAGUGGCUGAAUGCAUCCAAUGAUACCCGGGCCUUGAUUGAUACAGAUGAAUCCAUGACCCGAACUAUGUAUCUGCUUCUGCAAGAGGAAUAUAGCUCCAGGACAUCACGAUCUAGGAAUGUUUAGCCAGAGCAAUGAUUCAUCUAAAUUAGAAAAAGGGUAAAGAAUAUUUUUAUUUAUUUAUAGUAAUACUCAUUUGAAUUAAGAGUAUUUAAAUUCUUACUUUCAUUGUUUAAGAUGCCAAGAACUUUAUAUUUACUGUAGGUAUAGAACUGUCCCAGGAAACAAUUUUAAAAUAUUUUCCUUUAUUCAUUUUCUAAAGUCAUCCAUUGACCAAGUGAUUGGGUAUAUCUUUCAAAAGAAGUAAAAAAAAAACAACACAGGAUGAAACCAUCAACCGCUUCCCAAUAGCUGGUGAAAGAGUUGUUGCAAUUUCAGCUUAAAUAUUUGAUUGCUUCAUUUUGCCUUAAUCAUAAUUAUCUCAAACUUUCUACAUUUAUUUCUUCAUCCUAGCCUGAUAAAUAUCUAUGCUUCAAAGUAAAAACCUGCAGCAAACUCUUAACGAGUUAAAACUAUAAAUCUAAUCUGGGCACCAGGUACUAUAUUCAGAUAAUUUCUUAUCAACAGUGUACCUGUUCCCUUCCUUUAAGACAGAGGUAAGUAUUAUUUCCUUUACAGAGCCUAUAAAAUUCUCCUUUUCAGUUUCUCACGUUUAUAACAGUUGCUCCUCCUCCAGAAACAUCAAGAACAAGGAAACCUUAGAAAUUAUUCUGAAGCUCCAGAGAAGAAAAGCACUUCCCGACAGGUUCAAGUCUUUAUGUUGUUGUUCCUCUAUUUCUCCACCCCCUUCUGCCUGGAUUACUUCUGUCUUCUGGGAAAGUCCUUGGUACCAUGUAUUUUAAUGUGCAUUUUAACUAUAGUAAUACAAUAUGAUGGUUAAUUCUUUGCCAUCUUUGAAAUAUAUGUUCAGCUAUGAUUCUUCAACCUGUUUAGAAUAUAGUAGUAGGUAUUUUCAACAAGAUCAUGUUUAUAGUAACAACAACAACAUUUUUGCUGCUCCUCCAGGAGUAAUAAAAUAGUAAAAGACACAAGUUACCUCAAGUAUAUACCAAGGAUUUGGAAACAAAGUCAUAUGAGGAUUAAAUAUUGAAAGUAUAUGCAAUUCCUAAAUGAUAAUUUGGUGCUUUUGCAAUUGGAUCAUUAGAUGUAUAUAUAUCCAGCAUGAUUUUUUUUUAAAAAGCUGCCCUGGUGCAAUUAAGUACAAGUGAACCCAACUUCAAGUCAGUGCUCAGAAGCAGAAUAUCCUGGGAAGCCGAAAGAUUUCCUAUUCUAGUUUUUAGAAUUAAAAUCUCCAGUCAGAUUUCUGUCUUUGGAUCUCUUACAGCAUGUAGGUACUUAUUUCACACACACAUGCCAAAUCCAAGCUGGUUCAAAAUGCACUGAUUUUCCUCACUGCUAUUCUUCUUGAAAUUGCUCAUAACCAAUAGGAGAGCUCAAGAAUCAGCAGCUAGCUUAUACCCUAUUCCCACUCCUGUCAUAACUGGGUUUACCUAGCAGCUUUUUUUAAAAAAAAGAUUGUGUUCUCCGAUUGCUCACUUUAGAAGAACUAGUGGAAGGAUAUCCUGGUGCCACAGUGCCUUAACCUCAAUGCCCACAAGAACUGGAGAGAUAGGUUGAGAAUACCCUGUGCCCAAAUCCACUUGCAGGCUGCCAAAUUGAAUUGGUAGAGAUGCCUCCUGUCCUGCUGCUGAUCUGGAAAACCAUUGUGUCUGCUGAUUCUUGGCGAUCAGUGGGCCUAUAGGAGAUCCAAAAAUGUCAAACUGGCACCACAAAGAUGGAACUGAAGCCCCACCUGAUUUAUAUGUGCCGUAUCUAUAACACCCAUAAAAAAGGCGGGGAUUCAAAUUGCAUGGCCAGGUCCCCCCAUCUUUUAUUUCUUUUUCACUCUCCCUGCAGAUGCCUGUCAUAGUGUGGAAACAGAAAAAUUCAAGCCAAUUCAGGAUGAGUCAAAAUAUUAUAUAUCGAGGAGACUAAAAAACAGAAUAGAUACGGGUAAAAUAGGUACCCGAGAUUGCCUGUUUAAAGAUUUGGGAAUUCUAUUGGUCAAAUCUGUCUCCGUUGAUUUGCUCAUUCAGUGCGGAUAAAUCACACAUUGUUUAUUUUGUCUAUUGUAGUUUCACAAUAACUGAAAGUGCUGGUCUUUAUUUUUCACUCAUGUAAUCUGUUAAAUCCUUUCAAUUUAUUUUCUAACACUUCAUUUCUUCUCAUGUUUUCUAAUAUUUGUCCUCGAUAACUUCAUUGUAUUUUGGUUGCUUUAUCAGCAUCUGUUUUUAGUUUUACUAGUGUUUCUUUCUUCUCUUUGUUCUUCAACAUUGUUACAUCAAUCUACUAUUGUUACGCUUUAUUUUUUAAGAUGGGGAAAUAAUUUUUUGGCUUGACUUGCUCUAAAAUGCUAAGUUUCCCAAUUCAAACUGUGAUUGAGUCUGUCCAUGUGUUUGUUGUAAGAUUAAGAUGUUUUUAUCUUAUAUUCUGGUAGCUACCCUGUUUCCCUGAAAAUAAGACCUCCCCGGAUAAUAAGCCCAAUCAGGCUUUUGAGUACAAGUGCU